rnacentral:rRNA from 1 species
UACGGAGGAUGCAAGCGUUAUCCGGAUUUAUUGGGUUUAAAGGGUGCGCAGGUUGUUUGAUAAGUCAGUGGUGAAAGUCUGUCGCUUAACGGUAGGAUUGCCAUUGAUACUGUUGGACUUGAAUAUGGAUGAGGUAGGCGGAAUGUGUAGUGUAGCGGUGAAAUGCAUAGAUAUUACACAGAACACCGAUGGCGAAGGCAGGUCUCUGGGCAGUAACUGACGCUGAGGAGCGAAAGCAUGGGUAGCGAACAGGA